rnacentral:rRNA from 1 species
UACGUAGGGUGCGAGCGUUGUCCGGAAUUAUUGGGCGUAAAGAGCUCGUAGGCGGUCUGUCGCGUCGAUCGUGAAAACUUGGGGCUUAACCCUGAGCUUGCGGUCGAUACGGGCAUGACUGGAGUUCGGCAGGGGAGACUGGAAUUCCCGGUGUAGUGGUGAAAUGCGUAGAUAUCGGGAGGAACACCAGUGGCGAAGGCGACUACCUGGCCUGUUCUUGACGCUGAGGCGCGAAAGCUAGGGGAGCAAACGGG